rnacentral:rRNA from 1 species
CCUACGGGCGGCUGCAGUGGGGAAUAUUGGACAAUGGGGGGAACCCUGAUCCAGCCAUGCCGCGUGUGUGAAGAAGGCCUUUUGGUUGUAAAGCACUUUAAGCGAGGAGGAGGAGCUCUUGGUUAAUACCUAAGAUGCUUGGACGUUACUCGCAGAAUAAGCACCGGCUAACUCUGUGCCAGCAGCCGCGGUAAUACAGAGGGUGCAAGCGUUAAUCGGAUUUACUGGGCGUAAAGCGCGCGUAGGUGGCCAAUUAAGUCAAAUGUGAAAUCCCCGAGCUUAACUUGGGAAUUGCAUUCGAUACUGGUUGGCUAGAGUAUGGGAGAGGAUGGUAGAAUUCCAGGUGUAGCGGUGAAAUGCGUAGAGAUCUGGAGGAAUACCGAUGGCGAAGGCAGCCAUCUGGCCUAAUACUGACACUGAGGUGCGAAAGCAUGGGGAGCAAACAGGAUUAGAUACCCCAGUAGUC